rnacentral:rRNA from 1 species
AUUCAUGACGGUAUCAACAGAAGAAGCACCGGCUAACUACGUGCCAGCAGCCGCGGUAAUACGUAGGGUGCGAGCGUUAAUCGGAAUUACUGGGCGUAAAGGGUGCGCAGGCGGUUCUGUAAGUCAGAUGUGAAAUCCCCGGGCUUAACCUGGGAACUGCGUUUGAAACUACAGAGCUAGAGUGUGGCAGAGGGGGGUGGAAUUCCAUGUGUAGCAGUGAAAUGCGUAGAGAUAUGGAAGAACAUCGAUGGCGAAGGCAGCCCCCUGGGUCAACACUGACGCUCAUGCACGAAAGCGUGGGGAGCAAACAGGAUUAGAUACCCUGGUAGUCCACGCCCUAAACUAUGUCAACUAGUUGUCGGGCCUUAUUAGGUUUGGUAACGUAGCUAACGCGUGAAGUUGACCGCCUGGGGAGUACGGUCGCAAGAUUAAAACUCAAAGGAAUUGACGGGG